rnacentral:rRNA from 1 species
GAUGAACGCUGGCGGCGUGCCUAAUACAUGCAAGUCGAGCGAAUGGAUUAAGAGCUUGCUCUUAUGAAGUUAGCGGCGGACGGGUGAGUAACACGUGGGUAACCUGCCCAUAAGACUGGGAUAACUCCGGGAAACCGGGGCUAAUACCGGAUAAUAUUUUGAACUGCAUGGUUCAAAAUUGAAAGGCGGCUUCGGCUGUCUCUUAUGGAUGGACCCGCGUCGCAUUAGCUAGUUGGUGAGGUAACGGCUCACCAAGGCAACGAUGCGUAGCCGACCUGAGAGGGUGAUCGGCCACACUGGGACUGAGACACGGCCCAGACUCCUACGGGAGGCAGCAGUAGGGAAUCUUCCGCAAUGGACGAAAGUCUGACGGAGCAACGCCGCGUGAGUGAUGAAGGCUUUCGGGUCGUAAAACUCUGUUGUUAGGGAAGAACAAGUGCUAGUUGAAUAAGCUGACACCUUGACGGUACCUAACCAGAAAGCCACGGCUAACUACGUGCCAGCCGCCGCGGUAA